rnacentral:rRNA from 1 species
UACGAAGGGGGCUAGCGUUGCUCGGAAUGACUGGGCGUAAAGCGUGCGCAGGCGGUUCUGUAAGACAGAUGUGAAAUCCCCGGGCUCAACCUGGGAACUGCAUUUGUGACUGUAGAGCUGGAGUACGGCAGAGGGGGAUGGAAUUCCGCGUGUAGCAGUGAAAUGCGUAGAUAUGCGGAGGAACACCGAUGGCGAAGGCAAUCCCCUGGGCCUGUACUGACGCUCAUGCACGAAAGCGUGGGGAGCAAACAGG